AGACCCGAAACCCGGUGAUCUAGCCAUGGGCAGGUUGAAGGUUGGGUAACACUAACUGGAGGACCGAACCGACUAAUGUUGAAAAAUUAGCGGAUGACCUGUGGCUGGGGGUGAAAGGCCAAUCAAACCGGGAGAUAGCUGGUUCUCCCCGAAAGCUAUUUAGGUAGCGCCUCGUGAAUUCAUCUCCGGGGGUAGAGCACUGUUUCGGCUAGGGGGUCAUCCCGACUUACCAACCCGAUGCAAACUGCGAAUACCGGAGAAUGUUAUCACGGGAGACACACGGCGGGUGCUAACGUCCGUCGUGAAGAGGGAAACAACCCAGACCGCCAGCUAAGGUCCCAAAGUCAUGGUUAAGUGGGAAACGAUGUGGGAAGGCCCAGACAGCCAGGAUGUUGGCUUAGAAGCAGCCAUCAUUUAAAGAAAGCGUAAUAGCUCACUGGUCGAGUCGGCCUGCGCGGAAGAUGUAACGGGGCUAAACCAUGCACCGAAGCUGCGGCAGCGACACUGUGUGUUGUUGGGUAGGGGAGCGUUCUGUAAGCCUGUGAAGGUGGCCUGUGAGGGUUGCUGGAGGUAUCAGAAGUGCGAAUGCUGACAUAAGUAACGAUAAAGCGGGUGAAAAGCCCGCUCGCCGGAAGACCAAGGGUUCCUGUCCAACGUUAAUCGGGGCAGGGUGAGUCGACCCCUAAGGCGAGGCCGAAAGGCGUAGUCGAUGGGAAACGGGUUAAUAUUCCCGUACUUGGUGUUACUGCGAAGGGGGGACGGAGAAGGCUAUGUUGGCCGGGCGACGGUUGUCCCGGUUUAAGCGUGUAGGUGUGUGUUCCAGGUAAAUCCGGUUCACUUUAACACUGAGGCGUGACGACGAGGCACUACGGUGCUGAAGCAACAAAUGCCCUGCUUCCAGGAAAAGCCUCUAAGCAUCAGGUAACAUCAAAUCGUACCCCAAACCGACACAGGUGGUCAGGUAGAGAAUACCAAGGCGCUUGAGAGAACUCGGGUGAAGGAACUAGGCAAAAUGGUGCCGUAACUUCGGGAGAAGGCACGCUGACACGUAGGUGAAGUGAUUUACUCACGGAGCUGAAGUCAGUCGAAGAUACCAGCUGGCUGCAACUGUUUAUUAAAAACACAGCACUGUGCAAACACGAAAGUGGACGUAUACGGUGUGACGCCUGCCCGGUGCCGGAAGGUUAAUUGAUGGGGUCAGCGCAAGCGAAGCUCCUGAUCGAAGCCCCGGUAAACGGCGGCCGUAACUAUAACGGUCCUAAGGUAGCGAAAUUCCUUGUCGGGUAAGUUCCGACCUGCACGAAUGGCGUAAUGAUGGCCAGGCUGUCUCCACCCGAGACUCAGUGAAAUUGAACUCGCUGUGAAGAUGCAGUGUACCCGCGGCAAGACGGAAAGACCCCGUGAACCUUUACUAUAGCUUGACACUGAACAUUGAGCCUUGAUGUGUAGGAUAGGUGGGAGGCUUUGAAGCGUGGACGCCAGUCUGCGUGGAGCCGACCUUGAAAUACCACCCUUUAAUGUUUGAUGUUCUAACGUGGACCCGUGAUCCGGGUUGCGGACAGUGUCUGGUGGGUAGUUUGACUGGGGCGGUCUCCUCCUAAAGAGUAACGGAGGAGCACGAAGGUUGGCUAAUCCUGGUCGGACAUCAGGAGGUUAGUGCAAUGGCAUAAGCCAGCUUGACUGCGAGCGUGACGGCGCGAGCAGGUGCGAAAGCAGGUCAUAGUGAUCCGGUGGUUCUGAAUGGAAGGGCCAUCGCUCAACGGAUAAAAGGUAC
rnacentral:rRNA from 1 species